GACGAACGCUGGCGGCGUGCCUAAUACAUGCAAGUCGAACGCAGUGGGGACGGUUGAGUAACACGUGGGUAACCUCCCAUCAGAGGGGAUAACACUUGGAAACAGCUGCUAAACCGAUACUGAAUGAUGGACCCGCGGUGCAUUAGCUAGUUGGGGAGGUAACGGCGCACCAAGGCGACGAUGCAUAGCCGGCCUGAGAGGGUGAUCGGCCAAACUGGAACUGAGACACGGCCCAGACUCCUACGGGAGGCAGCAGUAGGGAAUAUUCGGCAAUGGGCGAAAGUCUGACCGAGCAACGCCGCGUGAGUGAAGAAGGUUUUCGGAUCGUAAAACUCUGUUGUUAGAGAAGCGGUAUCUAAACAGAAAGCCACGGCUAACUACGUGCCAGCCGCCGCGGUAAUUC
rnacentral:rRNA from 1 species